GAUGAACGCUAGCGGCAGGCUUAACACAUGCAAGUCGAGGGGCAGCAUUAAGUUGGCGACCGGCAAACGGGUGCGGAACACGUACGCAAUCUACCUUUGUCUGGGGUAUAGCCCGGAGAAAUCCGGAUUAAUCCCCACCUAGUUUAGUUUAGAGGAGGGACGACUACUUUCCUUUUACUUUAAAUUAAAAGUAAACGUCCUACGGACGGGGACCGGAAACGAAAGUAGUAGGACGGUCGGUCGGUCCCCGUACCCUUAAGUUACGUACGUUUAGGGUUUAAGGGGUU
rnacentral:rRNA from 1 species